GGUGGCAGCUCUACGCUUCCGUAGAAUCCCACCAUGUUGAUCAAAGUGUCUAUAUGCAUGUGUAUCUUCUGUAACUCGUCUUAGAUGUGUGAAUAAAUCUCAAUCAAAUGUACUAAAUAAAUUUCCUAGACCAGGAUUAUCAAGCUCUAUAUAACAUUCACACUCUUAGUAACUAAUCUCAAAAUGAAUGGCGACAUGUACGUUACAUGUACAUUGUUGUGCAGUGGGACUUUGGGAUCACUGGAAUGUGUGGUCACAUAUUUAAAGACAUGACACAGCAAAGCUAAAAGUGCCUGUAAUUAUUAUUUUGUUGUAUAAAAUAAAUAUCUAGCUUGCAAAUGUAACGAUGUAAAAGAAUGAAUAUGGUUUUGUUGUUAUUAAAUUCCUGUUAAACUUGGGAUUGCAACCACGGGUUUAUCUUGAAACUUUUAUUUUGAAAAUCCACAGCGGAAGUCUGCUACUGGUAAACUGGUUUUCCCUAAGCUUAUCCCGUUAGUAGCAAGGAAGCUUUUGCUGUGUUUGGGCGGAAUGCUGUUGCCUGAAACCCAUGGUUAUUCAUAUCCCAUGUUAUUGCAGAGACCCACAAGAGGGGAAUAAACCACGUCUGAGCUCUACCCAUCUCGAGUCCAGAGAGUUUUACUCUUACAGCACCGGAGAUAGAGACUGAGCGGAGUUACACAAAGAAAAAAAGAAAAAAAUGUAUUCAUGAUUUAUGUGUUUGGUGUUUAUGGCGUGUGACUUUAUAAAGUGAUAUAAAGAAUAUAAAAAAAGAACAACAUGAUAAAACAGACUUCUGUGUUUUAAACAUAAAUGAGACGAACAUGUGCUGCAGGCCUGGCAACAGCUGCCCGUAGGUUGGGUUUUUGCUAGUUAUCUAUCGAAUACUGUCUCUACCACAAAAAUAACAUACAUACAACAAGGUGAC